UUAACAACUCAACUGCAGACACUUGGAAACUCACCAAGGAGGUUCUUUACAACCUAAAGAAGUUCGUGUUUGACCAGACCCGUGGAGACCUGACUAUCGUCCAGCUUGGUUUGACAGACAAGGGCAAGUACAAGGUCACCAUGACACCCAAAGCUGGAACGGCUGAGGAGAAGACUUUCACAGUCAUAGUCACUGCUCGCGGGGGUCAACGCUGUUCGCUUUCGCUGCCGCUGAUGGCCAUUUGCAGCGUGAGCCUGAUGUGGUGGUUCUAGACGAGCUGAAUGGGAUCUUCGUCCAUCCGUCCGUCCACAUUCUCUUCCUGAUGACUCGGCUAAUGACAGGAGGACCCUCCAUCAAAACUGCGUCGCCAUGGAGAUGCAUGGAGCUGCUUUCAUCUGGGUCCUU